rnacentral:rRNA from 1 species
AUUGAACGCUGGCGGCAUGCCUUACACAUGCAAGUCGAACGGUAACAGGUUAAGCUGACGAGUGGCGAACGGGUGAGUAAUGUAUCGGAACGUGCCCAGUCGUGGGGGAUAACUGCUCGAAAGAGCAGCUAAUACCGCAUACGACCUGAGGGUGAAAGCGGGGGAUCGCAAGACCUCGCGCGAUUGGAGCGGCCGAUAGCAGAUUAGGUAGUUGGUGGGGUAAAGGCCUACCAAGCCUACGAUCUGUAGCUGGUCUGAGAGGACGACCAGCCACACUGGGACUGAGACACGGCCCAGACUCCUACGGGAGGCAGCAGUGGGGAAUUUUGGACAAUGGACGCAAGUCUGAUCCAGCCAUGCCGCGUGCGGGAAGAAGGCCUUCGGGUCGUAAACCGCUUUUGUCAGGGAAGAAAAGGCUUCUGCUAAUACCGGAGGCUCAUGACGGUGCCUGAAGAAUAAGCACCGGCUAACUACGUGCCAGCAGCCGCGGUAAAAC